GUGCCUGUAGUUCAGCGGUAGAGCGCCAGAUUGUGGAUCUGGUUGUCGUGGGUUCAAUCCCCACCAGGCACC
rnacentral:tRNA from 1 species